CAGCAGCCCCUCACACAAGGCCCAGCUCCCUUCCAGAGGCUCAGCCAUGCCCCUGGAGGUCUGGAUCCUGCGCUCUGCCCUCAGCCUGCUCCUGCUGCUGUCUGCCCCCAUCAUCACCCUCCUCCUGGAGAGAUGCAGCCACAGUGCCCACAGAGACAGGCAGCCUGGAGACGUCCCCGUCCCCAUGCAGCUCUGAUGUCCCCCUGAGUUCCAUGCUGUCCCCAGCCUGCUCCCUCAUGCUCAGAGCAUGACCCCCACCGUUGCCGGGCUCCCGCUGCCUUUGGGUUGAAGGCAGCUGGGGCAGCAUGCCCAAGGGAUGUGCUGCCACUGCUCUGCUUCCCUUGGCUCAGCGCCUGCUCUCUGCUCCCAUCAAGGAUUACCACUGGAUCGCAGACCCUCCCAGCUGGGUUCAACCCCAGCACCCACAUAGCUGCCCUGCCUGCUCAGAGAAUCACAUCUACAUCACAGGAUCCAUCUCUGCAUACCGGGAAAACACGAGGGGAUGGAGUCACAGCUGCACCCCCAGGCAGCCAUGAUCUGCAGCUCCUGCAUCACUCCAGCACCUCCCUGUGCCCAAGGUGGUGCUGGCCGCAAUGGGCAUAUCCCCAAGUGAUUACAGUGCUCCCUCUCGAGGCACCUUGGUGGGUAUUGGUCCUGUGGGAGGCAAGUUAUAAAGGAUUGGUUCAGAAUGCACCAGCUGAUGUUGCUGCUCUGUAUUUGAGAGGGAAGCCAGAGAGCAGAGCUGGGAGAGCUGCUCUAUGACUGCCAUAUGGGGCCAUGUGUCCUACGUGGGAGCUGCUGUUCCCUUUGCCCUGCCACCCAAGAGUUCCCCUACCUACUGGCAUUGCCCUGGCAGAUGUGUCAUGGAAAACUGCCUGAGAUCUGAGGAUGGCUGACACCAUGUAGAGGUCCAGGGGGUGGCAUGCCUGGCACUCUACAUCCCAUGCCCACCCAUUCCUGUGCUGGAUUUUCUGUCUCUCAAUGCGCCAUCCCCAGGAGACAGCCCUGAGCAGGGACAUUGUACAUGGGGGCAUCCAGCUGUGGGCCAGGUGGGGAUGGGGUCUCAGCAUGGCUGGCCCCAACACCCACACACCAUCCCCAGCCUUGCACUAUGGGCUUUUAGCCAUCCCACACCAAUUCCAAGAAGGAGCCAAAGUGUCCCUUCUCUGCAGCUCCCAGUGCUGACAUCUGGGGCCUUGGUGUGCAGUGGGGGACUCUGGGACAAGAUGGGUGCAGGCAGGACAGGAGCUGCUCAGCUGGGAGGCACGAGGAUGCAGGACUGCAUGGAUAGAAUAGGGGAUAGGAAAAUGGGGUCAAAACUCAGCAAGAGCUGCUUGGAGGCAGAGCUGGAGGGGAUGUGGGUUUCAGGCUCCUUCCUGCAAGCACAGUCCCUCACCUCCCAUGCUCUCAUUGAAGCACUUGUCCCACAGCUUCCUUCAGGCCCAUGCAUGCAUGUUUCACAGCACAAGCCUCCAGGAGACUCUUCCUCAAAGGGAAUAUACAGAGUUAGGUGGACGGAGCUACUCCCUCAUUCCCAUACAGCCUCCAACCCUCCCUGGUGAGCCAAUCGCACUGUGGUGCCAGCUGCGAAAUUUCUGAGGUUAACCUCUGACCAGCAUCCUGAGAGUAAUGAAGAUAUUGAAUGGAAUUCGACGUAAUUAGGAAGAAUUUAGGAAGAACUUCUUUACGAAAAGGGUUGUUAAAAAUUGGAAUGGGCUGCCCAGGGAGGUGGUGGAGUCACCAUCCCUGGAGGCCUUUAAAAGACAUUUGGAUGUAGAGAUUAGUUAUAUGGUUUAGUGGAGGACUUGUUAGUGUUAGGUCAGAGGUUGGACUCGAUGAUCUUGAGGUCUCUUCCAACCUAGAAAUUCUGUAAUUCUGUGAUUCUGUAAUUUGGAUCCCUGGAGUACACUACCAGUUAGCAGCCUUCAGCUGAUGUGGUGCAAUUGCCUAAAGUAACUAGGAAAAUAAAACUAACAUUCAUGUUUUAAAGAAAAUGUACAGCAUUAAAGAGGCUUUCAGGGUUAGGCGUAGCUGCAUUACCUAAGCGUUCCCUAGGCUUCCAACCUUAGAUGCUAUCACACUGGGGGAACCUGGUGUGCAGGUUCUAAGGGACAGUACGAAGCAUAGAGUGGAGUGGAGACACCGCGGCUAGGCUCUGUGACCAGGUGGGGACUCGAUUGUUCUUGUGCACACUGAGACUGAUAAGCCACACUUUUUCCGACCCUGAGACAACAACCUGUCAUGUUUUGACAAAUGCUGUAGCCUAGUGUACUUUUCCUCAUUGUAAUAUCAUUAUAAUACCAAAACACACCUCCAUCCCAAAAGCUACCUGCCUCCAAUGUGCGACCACCCCUCACUCAGCAUGCACUCUGAAUUUCUCGGUGCCUUUUACUUUAACCGAAAUGGGAGAACUUUUCUCCAAUCAUAACUAAGAUAUGCUUGACUAGAGUCACUCAAGCUCCACCUACAAGAUAGAAAAUAAUAUAAAUUGGCCUAAGAGAGAGGGGAUGUUUUGGAAGAUACCACUGAAGGGGAGAUACCACCCUGAGGGAAUACACCAUCCUGAGGACCUCCUGACUCCUGGGAUCAGUUGUCGGGCUGAGCUUCUCUUCCACCCUCUGCCCCCAUUGGGAGGCCUUUGGGUGAGAUUUGAACACACGGCUAUACUGUGUGUCUCUGCAGAAACUUUGAAAUCUCUAUAGAGUCUUUGUGCCUUUUAACACAUUAAUUUCCAGGCUGUGCACCUGUUUCACCUAUGUCACCUGUGUAUUUCGUGCAUGCUAGCUUGCUUUUGCAGACAGUAACUAUGGCUGGCAAUCCAAAGAACCUGCAUACCUGUUGCUGUAAUAAAUCGCACUUGAAUGCAUUGUUCCUACCCA